rnacentral:misc_RNA from 1 species
CUGGGGUUGCCGGAUCAAUGGCGGAAGCAGCUAGGCGCUGCUCCGGGCCGUAAAGGAACGCCCCCCAAGAGGCAGCACAGGAGCAGCAGAAGUAAAAUGAGCGAGCCUAGGAGCCGCGCCCAGGAACACCGCGGAAGGCACGGAGGCGACCAGCGCUGGGGCGCCUCGAGUCGAGCAAUGCAAGGACCGGGGCAGCAGCGCAGCGGGUGGCGCGGCCGCGGAUUUGAAGGCCUGGGGAGGGAGAUGGGCGGGGUAGAGAGAGAGGGAGGCUGCAGAGAGUGCAAGGACGGACGGACACGCUGCUCCUCGCCUGCGCGCUCGCGCUGUUCGAGAAGGCAAGCUGGGCUGGGCGGCAGAGAAGCAGAGGAGAGGAGGGUAGAGGAGUGGGAGAGCAGCGGCGGCAGUGGGCAGUGA